GCCCUGAUAGUUUAAGCAAAACACCGGUCUUGUAAGCCGGAAAGUACAGGUUCGUCCCUGUUCAGGGUU
rnacentral:tRNA from 1 species